GCCAGUGUGGCAUAAGGGUUUGAGUGUCAGACUGUGACUCUAGUGACCAGGGUUCUAUUCCCAGCUCAGCCA